UACGGAGGAUGCAAGCGUUAUCCGGAAUGAUUGGGCGUAUAGCGUCCGCAGGUGGCUGUGUAAGUCUGCUGUUAAAGAGUGAGGCUCAACCUCAUAAAGGCAGUGGAAACUACAUGGCUAGAGUGCGUUCGGGGCAGAGGGAAUUCCUGGUGUAGCGGUGAAAUGCGUAGAGAUCAGGAAGAACACCGGUGGCGAAAGCGCUCUGCUAGGCCGCAACUGACACUGAGGGACGAAAGCUAGGGGAGCGAAUGGG
rnacentral:rRNA from 1 species